UAUCAGACUGAGCAAAAAGGUUGGUAUCUUUCGCUUUCAUUUUUUUUCCUUCAAUUUGGAAUGUGAAUUCACAUUGUCACUUUGGCUUUAUAUUGUUGGUACACAAAGACAGACUGCAAACAAUGUUACCUUUUUUUAUUUUUUUUAUUUUUUGUAAGAACUUCAGUUAUUUUCAAAAUGUGAAAAUAACAUGCAUUCCCUUAUAUUCCAAUGAGCAUCGAGACAAUAAUAUUUCUUACAGGAAAAGAAUAGAUCCUAUGUUAGGAAGAUACAAAGCUGGAGUAUUUGCCAAAUAAAAUUGUGGUUAUUCUUUUUUUAUUCUUUAAGGGACAAUUGUUACCGCUUCUUUUUCUUAAUGGAAAAUUGUUGCUAAUUUGUUUGUGAAAUUUUACCUAGGUUUUAUCUUUCCUUAUUCUUUUUGUGUUUGUUUUUCCCUUUUGGUUUAUUUCGAAUCAUGGAAUCUGGACAGAGUGAGCAGGAUGAUAGUAGUGGUUUGUUUGUGUUUUUUUUUUUUUAAUUUUGAUUGAUUAAAGAGUAAAAGCGCUGGCACGAGCAAGAAGGCUUCUAAGGAUCCAAAUAAUCCUAAGAAGCUUACAAGUGCCUUCAUCGUUUUCAUUUUUAUAUAAGAAGCAUUUCAGAGUGAAAUACAAGGACCAUCCUAAUAACAAAUAUGUCGCCGCUGCAAGUCAAUCUCAUCGUAUGAUCCACUCUUACCUUUAUCAAUUACCAUCCUAUUAAUACAACAUAGUCUCCACUCUCUCACUCUCUUGCAGAUCCUUCUUCCCAUUUUCUCCGAGAAAGGAUCAAUGCCAUCAGCCUUUACUCAUUAGCCACUGCCACCUUUACAUUGCACAUCAAACUUAGAACACACAUGGUAUAUAUGUCUCUCACAUCUCAGAUCCUUUCUUUACUUCAAUUUUUAUGAGAUCUUACAGUAGCGUUUUAAUUUUUCCAGUAUUGUUACUCUUGUACGAUUGCUACUACAUAUACAUCUUUUUAGGCUAUUGGGUUUUUUCUGCGUGUACAGAUUAGAUUCCCAAAUUUUCUUUUUCCCUUUUUUUUUUUUAUAGUUCUCUCUCAUUUUUCUAAGAUCAAAAUGCAAAACGUAAAUUUCAAACAUCCUUGCAGACCAAAUUCAUUACUUUUAACUAUGCACACAAGUUUGAGAGACCAUUUCAGAAAUAAAUAUUUUAGCCAUGCAUAAAAGUAUGGGCAAUCUGCUAUUUACUCCUCUUUAACUCUAUUUCUCAUAUUGAAGACUCAGGGCAAAUACUUGAAGAGAACUCGACCGGUAUUGACUGCUCUUUAACUUUAUUUCUCAUAUUUAAUACAGUAGCUGAACAAUCUGGUAACAUAGUUCAUCUUGUUACAACCUUAUUUCGUUAAUUUUCCAAUUUAUCUCUUUACUCGGUCACCUUUAAGCAAAUCAUAAUUGUGCCUCUUCAUUUAUCUGCUCAUUGCUAUUUAUGUUAGCUGCUUAUUUUUCAGUGGGAUUGGUUCUAAAAUUCUAAUUUGUUUAAGCAAUGACAAACUGGAAUUGAUUUUGAAAUUUUAUCACUAUGCAAAAUUGCAAAGGGCUGAUCAAAUGAAACACAUAAUUUUGAUACACCUGGCUAAGGCAUUGGAAUUCCAUCAUUAGUAAUUUGAAAAAGCCAACAAAAAUCCUUGCUUUUAAGCAACAUACUGAUGAAGUUGACCCAACCUAAGAUAACCAAAUCUAUGCAUAUAUACAAGAAAAAACUGUUGGACAAUUACAUAUACAUAGUUCAUAUCAAAAUUUAUUUACAUAGUUCACAUGGAAAUAUAGUUGUUGAUAGCAGAAGAAAAUACACAACUUAUUUAUAAAAAUUUCAAUAUCUGUUAAGCUCUUUAUCAUUGAAAAUACAUAGCCAUUUUAUUUACCAUUUGCAACGAAUAUUUGGAACUAGCUAUGCAUUUCGUUUUGCUCUUAUUUCGGAGUUUCCUUCAAACUUUCUAAUACUUGGAAAAGGUGGUAAAUGUGCAUGAAUCAUAUUGUUAUGAGUUAAUGAGUUGGUGCUUUUUGUUGCUCAAGUAAGAUGAGAAUAUGUUAGUAUUGCCAACUAUGGAUUGCAAUGGACUAUCAUUUUUACAUGUUUGGGCCUAUCUGUGUGACCUUUUGAGUUGAUUCGGCAUGUAGUUAGCUUUUUUUUUUUUUUUUUUUUUUUUUUUUUUUAAGUUGAUUCGGCAUGUUGUUGAUUUGGAUGAGAAAAAAAAAUUGGGAAUGGAUACACCCAUGUUCAUUAAUAUUCGUACUUCUAAUCCCUUCGAUUUAAUUAUAUUCAUCGCACCACAUAGUACUGCCAAGCAAAUACACAUUACAUACUCUAACUUUUCUUUUCCUCCUUUUUUAGUUCCCAAAAGGUGCAAGCUUUAACUCGAUUCAGUGUACUAUCUGUUGGUGUGUAACCCUUCAGCUAAAGGUUGACGGUAAAUGAUCAGUUUAAAUGUUUUUGUUUCUAGUUUGAAUCUGAGUCAUUAAAUCAUAUGGCAGCUCAAUCUUGUAUCUAGCUUAAGUGAUAGAUUAAGACAAGUGGCAUCAUCUCAUAGGGUGAUACCAAUUGAGGGUUGAGAUUGUAUCUUGGUUUGGUGAGUGAAGGAUCCCCCUUCUUUUCCAUGUAUAAAGGUAACAAACACACACAUGCUUCAUGUGUGAAAAAAUUAGAAAAUUAAUUCAAUCAUCUUCUCUCUGAAA